GGAGAGGUGUCCGAGUGGUUUAAGGAGCCGGUCUUGAAAACCGGUGAUCCCACAAGGGGCCGUGGGUUCGAAUCCCACCCUCUCCGCCA
rnacentral:tRNA from 1 species